rnacentral:rRNA from 1 species
ACGGGAGGCAGCAGUGGGGAAUAUUGCACAAUGGGGGAAACCCUGAUGCAGCAACGCCGCGUGAAGGAUGAAGGCCUUUGGGUCGUAAACUUCUGUUCUAAGGGAAGAUAGUGACGGUACCUUAGGAGCAAGUCCCGGCUAACUACGUGCCAACAGCCGCGGUAAUACGUAGGGGGCAAGCGUUAUCCGGAAUUAUUGGGCGUAAAGAGUACGUAGGUGGUUUUCUAAGCACGGGGUUUAAGGCAAUGGCUUAACCAUUGUUCGCCUUGUGAACUGGAAGACUUGAGUGCAGGAGAGGAAAGCGGAAUUCCUAGUGUAGCGGUGAAAUGCGUAGAUAUUAGGAGGAACACCAGUGGCGAAGGCGGCUUUCUGGACUGUAACUGACACUGAGGUACGAAAGCGUGGGGAGCAAACAGGAUUAGAUACCCUGGUAGUCCACGCCGUAAACGAUGAGCACUAGGUGUCGGGGUCGCAAGACUUCGGUGCC